AGAGUUUGAUCCUGGCUCAGGACGAACGCUGGCGGCAUGCCUUACACAUGCAAGUCGAACGGCAGCGCGGGAGCAAUCCUGGCGGCGAGUGGCGAACGGGUGAGUAAUACAUCGGAACGUGCCCAAUCGUGGGGGAUAACGCAGCGAAAGCUGUGCUAAUACCGCAUACGAUCUACGGAUGAAAGCAGGGGACCGCAAGGCCUUGCGCGAAUGGAGCGGCCGAUGGCAGAUUAGGUAGUUGGUGAGGUAAAGGCUCACCAAGCCUUCGAUCUGUAGCUGGUCUGAGAGGACGACCAGCCACACUGGGACUGAGACACGGCCCAGACUCCUACGGGAGGCAGCAGUGGGGAAUUUUGGACAAUGGGCGCAAGCCUGAUCCAGCCAUGCCGCGUGCAGGAUGAAGGCCUUCGGGUUGUAAACUGCUUUUGUACGGAACGAAACGGCUCUUUCUAAUAAAGAGGGCUAAUGACGGUACCGUAAGAAUAAGCACCGGCUAACUACGUGCCAGCCGCCGCGGUAAUAC
rnacentral:rRNA from 1 species